GGAUGUAAGAGCAAUCUGGCUGUGACAUCUGUCACUGCAUUGAUCAUCAGGGUUGAUUCAGCUGAUCUAGCUGACUAGAUGGGUGUCCUCUUCCUCCCUCACCACUCAUAUGCAUCUUCUCCUGUUGGAGAAGAUGGCCUUCCCUGGAUAGAGAUGAUGAAAUGUAUACCAGUAGCUGCCCUCCCUUGCUAGAACUUCCAAACAAGCUCUCAGGGUCCAAGAUCACAGAUAUGUGUUGACUAUUAUUUCUCUAACUUUCUAUAUGUAUAUAUGUUUGCCAUUUUUU
rfam:Erinaceus europaeus unplaced genomic scaffold scaffold01369, whole genome shotgun sequence